rnacentral:lncRNA from 1 species
UGAUCCGUCCCGCGAUCUCAUCACGAUCCUUCCUGAUCUAGCACCGAACGGACGACACCUCCGCAUUUAGAACAUGUACGGCUCGAUGACGUCUCCUCCUUGUUGAUUCAUCAAGAGAGGAAGGAGAAGUAGAUGGAAUCUCAACCAUCACGAUGGCAUGGUGGAGAUGAUGAUGGAGCAGUGCCAACAAGGCUUCGCCAAGCGCUGUCGAAACCGAUCUCAGGAGAAAACGGAGUUGUGUCAGAGGUAGGGCUGCCUACGGGAC